UCAAUAAUGGUUGUGUGGAGAGGAUCGCUCAAGUGAGUAGCCCAGUUGUUGAGGGGACCUUUUCCAGUAACCCAAGCUUGAACUGCGAAGCCAAGGAAGGCUACCAUGGCAAGGCGAGCGUGCUUGAUCUCUGCCAAUUGAAGGGUAGCCUUCUUUUCUGGGUCGGAAGCUAGGCCUAGAGGAUCAAAGAACUGGCCUCCUGGGUAGAGCCUUUUCUCUGGGUCAAGCUCUGCGUUCCUUUGGAAUUCAAUGUAUCCAAUAAUGACAGCCUCAAUCCAGAUCAAUGCUGUAAUGGAGAAUGGUAGUGGCUGACCAAGGUAUGAUGAGCCUUCAACCAACUCCACCUGAAACAAACACAAAAAUCAUAUAUAAGACAACUUUUCAUAAUCGAAUUCCUUAAAAAACAUCAAGAAAAAUUCCUGACAUAUAUAUAUAUACCUUUCCAGCAUCUUGCCAGGUAACUCCAGUGAGCCACUCAACAGAGAGUGCACCAAGAGUAGCCAACAUAGCCCACCUUCCAUGAAUGAGCUCACACUCCCUGAACCUUUGCAACCCAAAAACCUCACUGUAAGGCUGAAAUGGAGUUGACUUCACAUCAGCAAACUCAGUACGUGUCCCAAUAAUAUCUCCAGCCAGAUUCUUAGCCAAGUUUUGGUCCAAAGAGUCAAGCUCGAACUGCAAGUACUCAGCUGGUUUGCCCAACCCAAAUGGGUCAAAUCCGUAAUCACCAACCAAGCUGCCAUCUAGGUACUCAGGUGCCUUGGCUCCUGGAUACCAAAGUGGGCGGUCUGGAGUACUAGGCUUUAUAGACUUCUUGGGUGCUUUCUUGCCACCAAAUCCGAACCUG
rnacentral:lncRNA from 1 species